GAUGAACGCUGGCGGCGUGCUUAACACAUGCAAGUCGAACGGUGAAGGCGGAGCUUGCUCUGCUGGAUCAGUGGCGAACGGGUGAGUAACACGUGAGCAAUCUGCCCCUGACUCUGGGAUAAGCGCUGGAAACGGCGUCUAAUACUGGAUACGAGCUGCGAAGGCAUCUUCAGCAGCUGGAAAGAAUUUCGGUCAGGGAUGAGCUCGCGGCCUAUCAGCUUGUUGGUGAGGUAAUGGCUCACCAAGGCGUCGACGGGUAGCCGGCCUGAGAGGGUGACCGGCCACACUGGGACUGAGACACGACCCAGACUCCUACAGGAGGCAGCAGUGUCGAAUAUUACACAAUGGGCGAAAGCCUGAUGCAGCAACGCCGCGUGAGGGACGACGGCCUUCGGGUUGUAAACCUCUUUUAGCAGGGAAGAAGCGAAAGUGACGGUACCUGCAGAAAAAGCGCCGGCUAACUACGUG
rnacentral:rRNA from 1 species